UCCUCGUUUAAGCGAGGCAGUCUGUCCAGAGUGCUCCGAACUCUCGUUCGGGUGGCAACAGGACACAAGGGUUGCGCUCGUUGCGGGACUUAACCCAACACCUCACGGCACGAGCUGACGACAGCCAUGCAGCACCUGAGCAGGAUGGUAUUGCUACCUCGUUGGGCUUUCACCCUUCUACUACCUGCAUGUCCAGCCUGGGUAAGGUUCUUCGCGUUGCGUCGAAUUAAACCACAUGCUCCACCGCUUGUGCGGGUCCCCGUCAAUUCCUUCGAGUUUCAACCUUGCGAUCGUACUCCCCAGGUGGAUAACUUAACGCUUUCGCUUGGACGCUGAACAGUAUAUUGCCAACGUCGAGUUAUCAUCGUUUACGGCGUGGACUAC
rnacentral:misc_RNA from 1 species